rnacentral:rRNA from 1 species
CCGAGAUUCCCCCAGUAGCGGCGAGCGAACGGGGAGCAGCCCAGAGUCUGAAUCAGCUUGUGUGUUAGUGGAACGGUCUGGAAAGUCCGACGGUACAGGGUGAUAGUCCCGUACACCAAAAUGCACAGGCUGUGAACUCGAAGAGUAGGGCGGGACACGUGGUAUCCUGUCUGAAUAUGGGGGGACCAUCCUCCAAGGCUAAAUACUCCUGACUGACCGAUAGUGAACCAGUACCGUGAGGGAAAGGCGAAAAGA